rnacentral:lncRNA from 1 species
UUUUGUUGAAGAGAUUUCAAUUUUUUGCAUCUGUAGCUUCUUUUCUGGAUUUGGAGUUUCAUUUCUUUUCAUAUGAAGAUUUCCUUUUUAUGUCAGCAAUACAAUUGUUGUGAAUUACAACUAAAACCAUCUACUACAGCUAUUAUACUCUUGUGCUGAGCUUACUUUUCUUUUACUUGGAUGUGUUUCUAAUUUGAUGCAUCAAUUGUGGACUUUACUUAUCUGCCAUGUGACGACAGUUUUUUUAUGUAUGCUUAUAUGUGAAUGCAACUUUUGUGUUUUGUAUUAAAAUAAUGUAUAUUAAUUUCCUACCUUAAAAAAUUAAACAAUCAGAUUAUGGUUCAAUUAACCACCAUCGAACUAUGAUGACUUUAGAGGAAGGUGGUUGUCACUAGAAAGUCAUUUACAAGAAAGUACAUUUUUAGAGUUGAAUCAUACCUGUAACCUCCCAAGAGCAUGUUUGUUAUUAGUGUAACCUCCCAAGAGCAUCUUCGUUAUUUUUUUUGUAUUGAUGAAUUUCAUGAUCGAGUUUAUUGAAAUGUGGCCUUCUUAAUUGUCAGUAUAUUGUAGUUGGACAUUUGGCUAUUGAUUCAUAAGGUUCUAGAACAUUUUAUCAUUAGAACAAAAGCUAAGUCUAUAAUGGACUAGUGCAGUUUCCAGAUUUUUCCAUUAUUAGUGUAGUUUCCAGAUCUUUAAUGCAUCAUGCUCUAGAAUACAUCAAAUAAGAAUGAACUGGGCGUUGAAGAGUGAUCUAGUUUCAUUCAUGCUCUCCAUAUGAAUUCACAGACUUCUGGAUUUGCAGUGAUGCUGUUUUGCUCAAAUAUUUUGUGGAUAUAGUAUCUUUAUUAUAUGGACAUACUUGCAUUUAUCUUAAAACCUUGGUUGCACUGUUAAAAUAUUACUUUGCUUUAGUAGUAGGGACGGAUGACCCUUCGUACAUGAGGCCAUGAUACCAUAAAAUUGUGCAAUAAAUUAUUUAAAUACAAGCAGGAAAUAUUCAUCAUUUUAUCCCUGCCAAAAGGUGUGAAACUUUUGAGAUUGGUCCAGAUUGUACAUUUUUGUUUUUGUGCACAAGUAGUGUGAGACUUGGCAGUAUGGUUUCCUUCACUUGGACAGGAUAUUUUUGUUGAAUCUCUCGUUAGCC